GACGAACGCUGGCGGUGUGCCUAACACAUGCAAGUCGAACGGUAAGGCCCUUUCGGGGGUACACGAGUGGCGAAUGGGUGAGUAACACGUGAGUAACCUGCCCUCAUCUCUGGGAUAACAGUCGGAAACGGUUGCUAAUACUGGAUAUGAGCUUGCAAGGCAUCUUUUGGGUUGGAAAGAUUUUUUGGUUGGGGAUGGACUCGCGGCCUAUCAGCUUGUUGGUGAGGUAGUGGCUAACCAAGGCUUCGACGGGUAGCCGGCCUGAGAGGGCGACCGGCCACAUUGGGACUGAGAUACGGCCCAAACGCCUACGGGAGGCAGCAGUGGGGAAUAUUGCACAAUGGACGGAAGUCUGAUGCAGCAACGCCGCGUGCGGGAUGACGGCCUUCGGGUUGUAAACCGCUUUCAAUUGUGACGAAGCUUUUUGUGACGGUAGCAGUAGAAGAAGCACCGGCUAACUACGUG
rnacentral:rRNA from 1 species